rnacentral:rRNA from 1 species
AUUGAACGCUGGCGGAAUGCUUUACACAUGCAAGUCGAACGGCAGCACGGACUUCGGUCUGGUGGCGAGUGGCGAACGGGUGAGUAAUGUAUCGGAACGUGCCCUGUCGUGGGGGAUAACGUAGUGAAAAUUACGCUAAUACCGCAUACGAUCUAUGGAUGAAAGCGGGGGAUCGCCAGACAUCGCGCGAUUGGAGCGGCCGAUAUCAGAUUAGGUAGUUGGUGGGGUAAAGGCCCACCAAGCCAACGAUCUGUAGCUGGUCUGAGAGGACGACCAGCCACACUGGAACUGAGACACGGUCCAGACUCCUACAGGAGGCAGCAGUGGGGAAUUUUGGACAAUGGGCGAAAGCCUGAUCCAGCCAUUCCGCGUGCAGGAUGAAGGCCCUCGGGUUGUAAACUGCUUUUGUACAGAACGAAAAGGUUUCUACUAAUACUAGGAGCUCAUGACGGUACUGUAAGAAUAAGCACCGGCUAACUACGUGCCAGCCGCCGCGGUAA